UUAACUAGUCUGCAACCCGUAAAGACUGAUUUGCAUACAGCACACACAAGACAAGAUAAAUCCAGACUAUUUCACAUCAGUGACCAUGAUUUAGUUGCAACAUUUACAACGAAAUGGAUACCAGGUUAUUAAUUUAAGCAAAUUCCUUCAAAUUGAAUUGCAACCCCCCCCCCCAUCAUUUUCUUGAAAAGAUUUAAUAGCCCCCCCCUUCUAGUAAUUUAUUUCUACAUAUGGCCCCCCCCUUAUUUUUUCCCUCCCCCCUUCCAUAAAUAAUGACCGGUCCCUAAUACUGCCCUCAAUCCUCGAAGAUUGUUUCCAUGCAUGAGUACAGUCUCUGACGUGUAUUUGUGCUCGUCUAUUGCUUCGAUCUUCGAAGUUAGUAAAUCUUCCACAGCACUCAGCUUACAAUUUUGCAGUAAGCCAACAACCUUCGGUUGACAAACGGGAGUUUUCUUGGAUAUCAGUGCGAAUUCUAUUGGAUUUUUCAUGUUUUUGCAUCAUCGUGAUCAUGAUUCAUGAAUAAACGCAUAAACAUUUGAUCUUUAAUUUUGAAUUCAUUAGAUUUAUGUUAGUUUUGGUUACUCUCUGCAUAUAAUUAAAAAUUCA